rnacentral:misc_RNA from 1 species
GAUGAAGAACGUAGCGAAAUGCGAUAAGUAAUGUGAAUUGCAGAAUUCAGUGAAUCAUCGAAUCUUUGAACGCACAUUGCGCCCGCCAGUAUUCUGGCGGGCAUGCCUGUUCGAGCGUCAUUUCAACCCUCAAGCACAGCUUGGUGUUGGGACUCGCGUUAAUUCGCGUUCCCCAAAUUGAUUGGCGGUCACGUCGAGCUUCCAUAGCGUAGUAGUAAAACCCUCGUUACUGGUAAUCGUCGCGGCCACGCCGUUAAACCCCAACUUCUGAAUGUUGACCUCGGAUCAGGUAGGAAUACCCGCUGAACUUAAGCAUAUCAAUCGGAGGA